rnacentral:rRNA from 1 species
GGAAUAUUGCGCAAUGGGCGAAAGCCUGACGCAGCCACGCCGCGUGAGUGAUGAAGGCCUUCGGGUUGUAAAGCUCUGUCGGGAGGGACGAAAGGAGCAAUCCUUGACGGUCCCUCGCAAGCAAGCACCGGCUAACUCUGUUCCAGCAGCCGCGGUAAUACAGAGGGUGCAAGCGUUGCUCGGAUUUACUGGGCGUAAAGCGUACGCAGACGGUGAGAAAGGUCGGAUGGGAAAGCCCCGGGCUCAACCCGGGAACUGCAUCCGAAACCAUCUCGCUAGAGUAUGGGAGAGGGAAGCAGAAUUCCUGGUGUAGAGGUGAAAUUCGUAGAUAUCAGGAGGAAUACCUGCGGCGAAGGCGGCUUCCUGGCCCAUUACUGACGUUCAGGUACGAAAGCGUGGGUAGCAAA